GGUGCAAGCGUUAAUCGGAAUUACUGGGCGUAAAGGGUGCGUAGGCGGCGCGGUAAGUCGGGUGUGAAAUCUCGGAGCUUAACUCCGAAACUGCAUUCGAUACUGCCGUGCUUGAGGACUGGAGAGGAGACUGGAAUUUACGGUGUAGCGGUGAAAUGCGUAGAUAUCGUAAGGAAGACCAGUGGCGAAGGCGGGUCUCUGGACAGUUCCUGACGCUGAGGCACGAAGGCCAGGGGAGCAAACGGG
rnacentral:rRNA from 1 species